CUCGCCCACGAGAGUCGGAGGGACAGCAUCGUGGCCGAGCUGGACCGAGAGAUGAGCAGGAGCGUGGACGUGACCAACACCACCUUCCUGCUCAUGGCCGCCUCCAUCUAUCUCCACGACCAGAACCCGGAUGCCGCCCUGCGUGCGCUGCACCAGGGGGACAGCCUGGAGUGCACAGCCAUGACAGUGCAGAUCCUGCUGAAGCUGGACCGCCUGGACCUCGCCCGGAAGGAGCUGAAGAGAAUGCAGGACCUGGACGAGGAUGCCACCCUCACCCAGCUCGCCACUGCCUGGGUCAGCCUGGCCACGGGUGGUGAGAAGCUGCAGGAUGCCUACUACAUCUUCCAGGAGAUGGCUGACAAGUGCUCGCCCACCCUGCUGCUGCUCAAUGGGCAGGCGGCCUGCCACAUGGCCCAGGGCCGCUGGGAGGCCGCUGAGGGCCUGCUGCAGGAGGCGCUAGACAAGGAUAGUGGCUACCCAGAGACGCUGGUCAACCUCAUCGUCCUGUCCCAGCACCUGGGCAAGCCCCCUGAGGUGACAAACCGAUACCUGUCCCAGCUGAAGGAUGCCCACAGGUCCCAUCCCUUCAUCAAGGAGUACCAGGCCAAGGUGAAACGACUUUGACAGGCUGGUGCUACAGUACGCUCCCAGCGCCUGAGGCUGGCCCAGAGCUGUCAGGACCAUGAAGCCAGGACAGAGGCCAGGAGCCAGCCCUGCAGCCCUCCCCACCCGGCAUCCACCUGCAUCCCCUCUGGGGGCAGGAGCCCACCCCCAGCACCCCCAUCUGUUAAUAAAUAUCUCAACUCCAGGGUGUUCCACC
rnacentral:lncRNA from 1 species